rnacentral:rRNA from 1 species
GACGAACGCUGGCGGCGUGCUUAACACAUGCAAGUCGAACGCUGAAGCUCAGCUUUUGUUGGGUGGAUGAGUGGCGAACGGGUGAGUAACACGUGAGUAACCUGCCUCCUUCUUUGGGAUAACGCCCGGAAACGGGUGCUAAUACUGGAUAUUCACUGGUCUUCGCAUGGGGGUUGGUGGAAAGGGUUUUUCUGGUGGGGGAUGGGCUCGCGGCCUAUCAGCUUGUUGGUGGGGUGAUGGCCUACCAAGGCUUUGACGGGUAGCCGGCCUGAGAGGGUGACCGGUCACAUUGGGACUGAGAUACGGCCCAGACUCCUACGGGAGGCAGCAGUGGGGAAUAUUGCGCAAUGGGCGCAAGCCUGAUGCGGCGACGCCGCGUGAGGGAUGGCGGCCUUCGGGUUGUGAACCUCUUUCGCUCAUGGUCAAGCCGCAACAAUGGUUGUGGUGAGGGUAGUGGGUAAAGAAGCGCCGGCUAACUACGUG